rnacentral:rRNA from 1 species
AACUCCGUGCCAGCAGCUGCGGUAAUACGGAGGGUGCAAGCAUUAAUCGGAUUUAUUGGGCGUAAAGGGCGCGUAGGCGGAGACAUAAGUCAGAUGUGAAAUCCUGGAGCUUAACUUCAGAACUGCAUUUGAAACUGUGUCCCUAGAGGGUAGGCGGAGAAAACGGAAUUCCACAAGUAGCGGUGAAAUGCGUAGAUAUGUGGAAGAACACCGGUGGCGAAGGCGGUUUUCUAGCUUAUUCCUGACGCUGAGGCGCGAAAGCAAGGGGAUCAAACAGGAUUAGAUACCCUGGUAGUCCUUGCUGUAAACUAUGUAUACUUGUUGUAACUGGACUCAACCCCAGUUGUGCCGGAGCUAACGCGUUAAGUAUACCGCCUGGGGAGUACAGUCGCAAGGCUGAAACUCAAAAGAAUUGACGGGG